CAGCAGCCACGGUAAUACGAAGGGGGCUAGCGUUGUUCGGAAUUACUGGGCGUAAAGCGCACGUAGGCGGAUAUUUAAGUCAGGGGUGAGAUCCCAGAGCUCAACUCUGGAACUGCCUUUGAUACUGGGUAUCUUGAGUAUGGAAGAGGUGAGUGGAAUUCCGAGUGUAGAGGUGAAAUUCGUAGAUAUUCGGAGGAACACCAGUGGCGAAGGCGGCUCACUGGUCCAUUACUGACGCUGAGGUGCGAAAGCGUGGGGAGCAAACAGGAUUAGAUACCCCCGUAGUCCCUGUCUCUUAUAC
rnacentral:rRNA from 1 species